UAAUUCAUACCUGACUGAGCAUACCGCGUGAGGGAGGAAGGCUCUUGGGUUGUAAACCUCUCCUCUCAGGGAAUAAAAAAAUGAAGGUACCUGAGGAAUAAGCAUCGGCUAACUCCGUGCCAGCAGCCGCGGUAAUACGGAGGAUGCAAGCGUUAUCCGGAAUGAUUGGGCGUAAAGCGUCCGCAGGUGGCACUGUAAGUCUGCUGUUAAAGAGCAAGGCUCAACCUUGUAAAGGCAGUGGAAACUACAGAGCUAGAGUACGUUCGGGGCAGAGGGAAUUCCUGGUGUAGCGGUGAAAUGCGUAGAGAUCAGGAAGAACACCGGUGGCGAAAGCGCUCUGCUAGGCCGUAACUGACACUGAGGGACGAAAGCUAGGGGAG
rnacentral:rRNA from 1 species